rnacentral:rRNA from 1 species
UGGGGAAUUUUGGACAAUGGGGGAAACCCUGAUCCAGCCAUCCCGCGUGUGCGAUGAAGGCCUUCGGGUUGUAAAGCACUUUUGGCAGGAAAGAAACGUCAUGGGUUAAUACCCCGUGAAACUGACGGUACCUGCAGAAUAAGCACCGGCUAACUACGUGCCAGCAGCCGCGGUAAUACGUAGGGUGCAAGCGUUAAUCGGAAUUACUGGGCGUAAAGCGUGCGCAGGCGGUUCGGAAAGAAAGAUGUGAAAUCCCAGAGCUCAACUUUGGAACUGCAUUUUUAACUACCGCGCUAGAGUGUGUCAGGGGGAGGUGGAAUUCCGCGUGUAGCAGUGAAAUGCGUAGAUAUGCGGAGGAACACCGAUGGCGAAGGCAGCCUCCUGGGAUAACACUGACGCUCAUGCACGAAAGCGUGGGGAGCAAACAGG